rnacentral:rRNA from 1 species
GACAGAGGUCCCGAGCGUUAGGCGGAAUCACUGGGCUUAAAGCGUGUGUAGGCGGAUCGUUAAGUGCCUUGUCGAAAUCCCACGGCUUAACCGUGGAACUGCUUGGCAUACUGGCGGUCUUGAGCCACUUAGGGGCACCGGAACAAAUGGUGGAGCGGUGAAAUGCGGUAGAUAGUCAUUGGAACGCCAAUGGUGAAAACAGGUUGCUGGGAGUGUGCUGACCGCUGGAGACACGGAAAGCCAGGGGAGCGAACGGG